GUUUGAAGGUGCAAUUUGGCCAUGUCAUUUUGUGGGUUUAGUACCUUGAACUUGAAAGUUGAUGCCUUUGCCUUAAGGGGUUUGUCUAGCCUAGACAUCUUCUUUCUCCAUUAUUCUGCCUUCUCUCUUCUUUACCCUGAAGAAUUGGGAAAGAAAAGUUAAUAAUAGGCUAAAGCUGGGAGCAUUUCCUUUUUAAUCACGAAAAUCCUGGGGUGAACUUCUUAAAAUUACCUGGUUUCUGAUAUUUUAAUUAAUGUUACUAUUUUUCCUACCACGUUUAUAUUGCCCCCAGGGAACACUUUUUUCCUUCCCUUUCCUACAUGGAAUUCUACAAAGAUUCCUCUACAAUUAAUGCAGCAAAAAUAAGAAAACAGCAGGAAAGGUUUAAAGUUGGAGAGACAUUCUCAAACUUCUCUCAAGUAGUAAAAUAUGAUUCAGAGAUGCAAAGAAGUGAAAACCAGAUGUCAAACUUAAAAGCCUAAAUACAAAAGUACCUACAGCUAUUGUGUGCCAGUGGACUUCACAAGUGCCACAGCAUAUCUGUGGCACUGCCAGGUGCCAAAAUUUCCAAAAUACAGCUGAGGAACCUGUGGCAAGGACAGACCACAAGACUUAUUAAGAAUCACAUGAGAAGAUAUUGCUGUUGGGUCCUGGUAAAUAGGAGAUGUGGGCUGGAUUCAUGUCUCCAGCCCAGAAAUCUGGUUUCCCCUCUGAUGUUUGACUGUUGACAAACAAAUUGUUUAGAUUAAAAAUAAAGGGAAAACAACACUGAAAAUUAUUGGUUGACUUC